rnacentral:rRNA from 1 species
AUUGAACGCUGGCGGCAGGCCUAACACAUGCAAGUCGGACGGUAGCACAGGGGAGCUUGCUCCUCGGGUGACGAGUGGCGGACGGGUGAGUAAUGUCUGGGGAUCUGCCCGAUAGAGGGGGAUAACCACUGGAAACGGUGGCUAAUACCGCAUAAUGUCGCAAGACCAAAGAGGGGGACCUUCGGGCCUCUCACUAUCGGAUGAACCCAGAUGGGAUUAGCUAGUAGGCGGGGUAACGGCCCACCUAGGCGACGAUCCCUAGCUGGUCUGAGGGGAUGACCAGCCACACGGGAACUGAGACACGGUCCAGACUCCUACGGGAGGCAGCAGUGGGGAAUAUUGCACAAUGGGCGCAAGCCUGAUGCAGCCAUGCCGCGUGUAUGAAGAAGGCCUUCGGGUUGUAAAGUACUUUCAGCGGGGAGGAAGGCGAUGUGGUUAAUAACCGCGUCGAUUGACGUUACCCGCAGAAGAAGCACCGGCUAACUCCGUGCCAGCCGCCGCCGUAG